rfam:Neurospora tetrasperma FGSC 2509 unplaced genomic scaffold NETTE2scaffold_1, whole genome shotgun sequence.
GGCGCGAUGACCGAGUGGCCUAAGGUGUUUGACUCGAACUAGCGUCGAGGUCCUAUCAAAUCUCUUCGGAGGCGCAGGUUCAAAUCCUGCUCGCGUCG